rnacentral:rRNA from 1 species
CCUACGGGAGGCAGCAGUGAGGAAUAUUGGUCAAUGGGCGGGAGCCUGAACCAGCCAAGUCGCGUGAGGGAAGACGGUCCUAUGGAUUGUAAACCUCUUUAGGCGGGGAGCAAUGCCGGGCACGCGUGCCCGGAGGGAGAGUACCCGCAGAAUAAGCAUCGGCUAACUCCGUGCCAGCAGCCGCGGUAAUACGGAGGAUGCGAGCGUUAUCCGGAUUUAUUGGGUUUAAAGGGUGCGUAGGCGGAUUUUUAAGUCAGCGGUAAAAUGUCCGGGCUCAACCCGGGCCGGCCGUUGAAACUGGGGAUCUUGAGUGGGCGAGAAGUAUGCGGAAUGCGUGGUGUAGCGGUGAAAUGCAUAGAUAUCAGGAGGAAUACCGUUAGCGAAGGCGGCAAUCUGGCUGGAAACUGACGCUGAGGUGCGAAAGCGUGGGUAGCAAACAGGAUUAGAUACCCGUGUAGUC